UUUAGCGGGGCUGACAGUACUGAAAAAAGUAUGUCUCCAGAAGCACGCAUUGUCCGAGGGUGUUAUUCAUCUGUCAGAUACACUCUGAAGGAGGGAAUUUGUAUGAGGUGAAACCAAAGUGAGAGCCUAAAGUAUCAGGAGAAGAGGACAGAAGCCUUUUCAAUGAUAAGAAGACAGCUACCAUACUUAGUUACAAUGAUUUUAAGAAUAUGUAUGGAUUCUGAAUGAAAAUUAUGAAACGCAAGUGAUCCAGUCUGCAAAGGAAGACCACGGACUUUGGAUAAAAUUAAAUAUUCAAAUGGAAACACCCACCAACAAGUAGAUUAAAUGAGGAAAGAAGAUGUGGUCACAAGAGGUUAAAAAAAUGGAACAUCUCUGAUGCAAUACAGAAGAAAAAGUAGCUCUGCUCAUAUUAGUGUUUUGCUGUUGUACUUCCAUUUAAGUGUUCUUUUUGCCUUGUAGCCAGAAAAAAAUGCUGGAAGGAGAACUUAAUACAUUUAUACAGCAGUGAAGGAGCUACACUUAAAUGUGAAGUAACAAGAUCUACAGAACCUGCAGAGAUGAAGAAAAAAAAAAACACUAAAUGAUGACACAUUAAUAUUAAAAGGAAUGAACAGGUAGAACUAAGGACACAUGCCUUCAGAAUGGCCCAAAAGUUGGAAGUCCCGAUGAAAGCUCUGAAAGGAAUUACGUGUUUAUUAUAAACUAAACUAAAGAGUGAACUUUUAGUGGCAAAAAACCCCAGAAAAUCAGAGAUAGAUGAAACCAUCUGAGUUUUCAUCCACCAAUUAAGAGAAUUAGGAAAACUGUGUUGUUUCAGCAGAAACAUGGUGCAGCAAUGAAUGACGAAACAUCCCAGUUUUCUAGCAGAAUCUGUUAUCGGUACUUUCCUUCUUCAUACAGAAUAAAUGUGUAUCAUGUCCUUAAUCUUGCUUGCUGGCAAAACUUAGAAUCACGAGCUUGUUCUUAAUUAAGAGAGUAUACAACUUUGAAAAUACAUAACUUAAA